rnacentral:snRNA from 1 species
GGACGAUCUGGCUGUGACAUCUGUCACCCCAUUGAUUGCCAGGGUUGAUUUGGCUGAUCUGACUCAUUAGUUGGGGUCCCCGCUACGUACUUGGUUGGAGAAGACAGCCUUCCCCGAAUACAGACUGACUUGUCUUUGGAUGAGGGUAUACGAGUAGCUGUGCUCCCCUUGCUAGAACCUCCCAAACCAGAAAAGUGCUUGGUAGCUAUUCAGAUCUGGAGAGGAACACCUUAAUUUUAUUUUUUGUAGAAUUGUGUUUUA